rnacentral:rRNA from 1 species
GCCUUCGGGUUGUAAAGCACUUUCAAUUGGGAAGAAAGGUUGCGUGUUAAUAGCACGUAGCUGUGACGUUACCUUUAGAAGAAGCACCGGCUAACUCCGUGCCAGCAGCCGCGGUAAUACGGAGGGUGCGAGCGUUAAUCGGAAUUACUGGGCGUAAAGCGCGCGUAGGCGGUUUGUUAAGUCGGAUGUGAAAUCCCCGGGCUCAACCUGGGAAUGGCAUUCGAUACUGGCCGACUAGAGUACGAGAGAGGGAGGUAGAAUUCCACGUGUAGCGGUGAAAUGCGUAGAUAUGUGGAGGAAUACCGGUGGCGAAGGCGGCCUCCUGGCUCGAUACUGACGCUGAGGUGCGAAAGCGUGGGUAGCAAACAGGAUUAGAUACCCUGGUAGUCCACGCCGUAAACGAUGUCUACUAGCCGUUGGGAGACUUGAUUUCUUAGUGGCGCAGCUAACGCACUAAGUAGACCGCCUGGGGAGUACGGCCGCAAGGUUAAAACUCAA